ensembl:snRNA U1 U1 spliceosomal RNA
GCCCUUCCCUGGCGGGGAGGCAGCAUGGUCGCCAGGUGCUUCUCCCAGGUGAGGCUCAUCCAUUGGCCCCGGAUGUGCUGGCACCUGUGACUUUCCCAAAUGCAGGAAACUCGACUGCACGAUUUGUGGUAGUGGGGACUGUGUUCAUGCUCUCCCCUU